UUUUUCUUUUUUUUCUUUCUUUUUUUUUCUGAGACAGGCGUUUGCUCUGUCCCCCAGGCUGGAGUGCAGUGAUGCAAUCUCAGCUCACUGCAGCCUCCACUUCCUGGGUUCAAGUAAUUCUCGUGCCUCAGCCUUCUAAAGUGCCACCAUGCCUGGCUAAAUUUUGUAUUUUUUGUAGAGACAGCAUUGUGCCGUGUUGACCAGGCUGGUCUCGAACUCCUGGCUUCAAGUGAUCCACCCACCUCAGCUUCCCAAGGUGUUGGGAUUACACGUGUGAGCCACCUCGCCUGGCCUGAUUCUUUAUGAUAACUUCCUACAAGCGGAAUUACAGAAUGAAAAGGCAUGGAUAUUCUUAAAGGUCUUUAUAUAUAAUCAAUUGCUCUUCUUAAAAGCCAUGCUGUUUUAUGCUUUGAUUGCAUUCUUACCAAUGCUAGAUAUUGUCAAUUUAAAAAAACUGAAUGCCAAUUUGAUAAAGUUAAACAAUGAUAGUUCACGUGUAUCCUAAUUUUAAUUUACUUAUUAAUGAAGGUGGCUAUUUUUCCCUCAAACAUUUUCUGUCCAUUUGUAUCUCCUUGCUGACUUGGCUUGAACAACAUCCCCUUAAACAAUUAUUUUCUAUGUUAUACACAGGAAAGCUUUGCAUCACACAUUUUGAUAACAGGAAAAAUGAGAUGAAAUUGAAAUGUUUAGCAAUUGGGAAAUGUUAAGUCAAUCGAGGCAAAAGCAAUUGAUGGAACCUUAUGCAGCCAUUACAAUUGGAGGCUACAGAGACUUUGGCAACAUGGAAAAAGACCUAGGACAUAUGUUAAAGAAAGAAGAGUAGGAUAGAAAACAGAAUGUAUACCACGUUUACAUGUUUACAACUACACAAAAAUAAGAAUCCUAGCAGGAGUUGGGAUUGAGGGUUGGGAUUUCUGAAGAUAUUAUUUUUCUCUUCUUCAAAAUGUUUUGUAAUUCUACUAUAUAAUCUUCGUAGUUAAAAGAAAAAAAAAAUUAAGGACAGAUUUUCAGUUGACUUUCCAAAUGGCCCAUCCCAGUUUCUUAGGAGCCCCCAUACCCUUUUAACAAACAUCUGUGUUUGUGUCAUAGGAGACUGAAAACUCUUUGCUUAAGUAUUAAUAAUUCUGUUCAGCAGACAAAAAGAUAGCUUUGUCAGUAAUGGAAAGCAGGGCUCACACUAACGAUCCUGAAGUUGGGUUAUUCCAGGCCAGAGGAUCCCCUCUGGCCCCACCCUCCUCUGAGGCUUGGGAAGGGGCAGGUCUGGAAUUCUAUAACCCUGAGAGACAAUGGAAGGCAGACUGCAUAAUCUUGAGGGGUCUCCAAUCAACUAGGGAGGAGAGGGGAUAUAGCAGCUCCUGUUAGAACAAGCAGGAAGGCUCCAGACCUUAGGGCCAAGGAUUGCCCAACAUGAGACCCAGAUGGGCCCAUUUUACAGAUAACAACAUUGAGGCCCAAAAUGAGAAUUUCAGUCACUAGGAUGAGCAUGUCUGUGACUAGUGUCCUGUGGAUCCUUCCAGGACUAGACUAUGCAAGCAUAUAUGCGUGUGUGUGUGUGUGUGUGUGUGUGUGUGUGUAUGUGUCCACACAUAAACAAGCUCUUUGCUCCUUCCCCCCACCUCCUGUCAUCCUUCCUUCUUUCCUUGUUUCCGCCUCCCUCCUUUUCUUUGUCUUUCUCUCCCUUCCCCCUCCAUCCUUCCUUUCUUGUAAACAAAUGGUCCUUGAAAAUCAUUCUCCAGAGUUCAUGUGGACUGGCUUUGUUCUUUUUCACAGUUGCAGAGUAAAGCAUAUAUGGAUGUAUAUCAACAUUUAUUUAACCAGUACCCUGUGGGUGGAUAUUUAUGACAGUCUCCAAGCUUUUCUAUGUCGGACUCUCUUCAUACAAUUAUCACCUCACAUGUGUGGAUAAGCACAUGUUAUCUAGGAUGGACUUCUAGAAGUGGUGUUGCUGGGUCAAAGGAUUUGUGCAUUUAAGAUUACGUAAGAUCCAAAGUGCUCUCCAUCGACAGAGGCUAGACUAUUCAUGCAGCAGUUUAUGAGAGUGUCUGUUUCUGCAUAAGCUCAAUAACAGAAUAUUUUGUCUAACUUUUAAAUCUUUGCUAAUCUGAUUGGCUAAAAAAUGGCAUCUCGUUGAACUAACACUUUUUAUAAUGAGGGAAGUUGAGCAUUUCACACCUUUAAAUGCCAUUUGUAUUUCCUUUUCUGUUCACAUUCUUUGACCUUUUUUAUAUUUUCUUAUUGAUCGGUAGGGACUCUUUAUAUAUUAAGAAAAUUAGCUCAUGUUUGGAUAUAUGUUUAUGGCCAGUUUUUCCAGGUGACUUUUGUCUUUUGACUUUGCUUACAGUAUUUAUAGUAUUGUGAUGAAGACA
ensembl:lncRNA